rnacentral:rRNA from 1 species
CCUACGGGUGGCAGCGGUGGGGAAUAUUGCACAAUGGGGGAAACCCUGAUGCAGCGACGCCGCGUGAGUGAAGCAGUAUUUCGGUAUGUAAAGCUCUAUCAGCAGGGAAGAAGAAAGACGGUACCUGACUAAGAAGCCCCGGCAAAAUACGUGCCAGCAGCCGCGGUCAUACGUAGGGGGCAAGCGUGAUCCGAAUUUACUGGGUGUAAAGGGAGCGUAAACGGCUGUGCAAGUCAGAAGUUAAAGCCUAGGGCUCAACCCCUGGACUGCUUUGGAAACUGUGGAGCUAGAGUGCUGGGGAGGUAAGUGGAAUUCCUAGUGUAGCGGUGAAAUGCGUAGAUAUUAGGAGGAACACCAGUGGCGAAGGCGGCUUACUGGACAGUAACUGACGUUGAGGCUCGAAAGCGUGGGGAGCAAACAGGAUUAGAUACCCUAGUAGUC